CGCCGCCGCCACUUUUGAAACGCGCCAAAAAAGCUCGUUGCCGCCGCUAGUGAUCGCCAGUGCGCUUUCGGUGUGCGGUUGUCGCGGACGUCUGCUGCAGCGGCUGCGCAUCUCCUCGGCCGUCAUUACUAUCACGCACACACACACACACACAUACACACGCGCGCGUGCGCGUGCGCGUACGCACUCACGUCGAGGAGUUUGGGUUGUCGAAUUUUCCACAUCCCGUUUGCCCCCACCGAGUCAAAUUUAACGUCGCACCGGUUUUUUUUCAUCCUUGUCCAUGUGAUCCAUCACAUACACAUUAUUAUUGUCGGCUGCUAAAUUAAUAUUAUAUAUAGCCUGUCGUAUAUUAUGUAAAUUUUUUUCGUCUUCGGAACCGACGGUCGGAUACGAGACAUCGUCGUCGUCGCACAGAUAACGCGUCAGGUCGACAAAAAAAAAAAAAAAAAAACAAAAAAAAUACAAACGUAAAACACCAUCGUAAUAAUAUUGCACCUGGUGACGGAAGCGAUGAUCCGCGAUCGGCUGUACACGAUGUCUGACUGCUGCGUUGACCGUUUCGAGCCAACACUGUGACUUCUGCAACUUUGAUCCUGAAGAAUCUCUACAACACACGUGGUGUCUGAUACCUACUACCAAUAUAUUAUUAUACGAUCUACCUAUUUUGCAGAGUGUUUUCACUGUAUCCAAUAUAAAUCAUAAAGCAUCACCACGUUUUAAUAACAAAAACAAUACGUCCCAAUUUAAAUUGGUUCUACUGCGUCAACAAAUCAUCAAAUCCAAAUGGAUUAUAUUGCCAUCAUAUUCAAGCUCAUCUAAAUACCUAAUCGAUUCGUCGCGUUGAAGAACUAAUAUGGACAAUUUAGAAUUAUAUUAAUUAUUAAUAUAACAGUAUAACACAAACUCGACAUGUCGAGUAUAGAAUAAUAAAACAUAUUCGUUGAUUUUAUAAGCAAUCCGUUCUUAAAUAUUAAUAAGCAAAUCGUCAACACUUGGAGUCCAACAAUCUAUAUACUCGUACUAUAAAUAUAACAACUAAUAAUAAGCUACACUGCAAUCAAAAACACAUUAGUACAACUCAAGAUGGGUACUAAUGGAUUGUCGUGUAAGUCGACAUCUUCAUUUUUGAUUAUUCAUGGACGCUUGAUUUAUUAUACUAUCCUGAAUCAAGUGAGUGACACAAACGCCAGCUAUCACAUAUUUCUUCCAUCACUGUUUUCUAUUAUUGCCCUAUAGAGUUAUUAUAAGAAACCUCACCGCCUUCAUAAUUUUCACUAGAUACUAAUAAUUUUGAAGAUUCAGUCGAAAUAGAUAAUUAUGUUUAAAGCGAUGCAAAAAAGCGAGUACAUUUCUGCUGCCUAUUUUUUUUAUAGACUUCAAACAAAAUAUUAAUAAUAAGGAAAUACUCAACCUAUCGCAAUAACAUAAUAUAUAAAUUUAUGUAUAAUUUAUAAACAAGAUUGGUUCAUCACAAUGUCAAAAUUAUUAGGACUCAGGACUAUGUGCCAACUUCAAACUUCUAUAUUAUGUUUCCUGCUGCGUCAAGUACGGGGAAUAUCACCUUUCGAACCACUGUACCAAAUACAAAAGCAGUCCAGCCAAAUGCGUUUUAUGUGAAGGUGCUCAUACGAGUGAUACGCAUUCACUUCAUGGAAUGUUCAAACCAAAAAUCUUUUUUAAGCACCAAUCAAUCCAUCAAUCAUCAUAUAUCUAUGUUACUCCCUACUCCAUCAAUAUCAAAAUACUCAAUAAUUCUAAAAAUGAUACUUCAUUAUUGAAAUUUCUUUCCGGUCUUACUUUGUUAAUUUCCCUUCGUCUAUAAUUGUAUAUUAAUCUCAGUAUUUUUAAUUAUUAGUAUAACGUAAUUAGAAUACUCUAAUUAUUGUAGCUGUAUGUAAUGCUGUAUCUAUAUCUUAUUUUAAAGUAUGAUGAUCGUCAAUGAUGUAAUUAUUAUAUUAUAUUACCUAUUAUAAUAAUAAUAACCCAAGUUCCAAGUCUAAUUUCACUAAAGGGUGGCUUUACCGUUCUUAACACGCAUCAUUCAUUUUGAAAUCGCAAAUCAUAACAUAUACUCAUCAUGAAAGUUCUAAGUUUUUACGGGUCAUCUAUGUGAAAAAAAAAAUAAUAAAAAUGUGUGGUUAUAGAAUAUUUAGAUAAUUGCGAAUAGAUAUAGAAUUCUUAUAACCUGAGUCAAAAAAUAAACUGAAAUAAGGAAUACAUUCUUAUAUUAUUAUUAAAAAAAAUUAAAGUAUUUUUGUUGAA
rnacentral:lncRNA from 1 species